UAAGAGAAGCUCAGUGCGUCAAUCAAAGCAGGAAGGCUGGUGAGGGGUGCAAACUCAUUUGCAUAGCCCUCCGUUAACUUUAUUGGGGUGGGCGGGGCAGAUGUUUGUGAAGCCCUGCCUCUCUCAUACAGCACCAGGCAUCACGCUCAAUCUCUGUCCCUCGUCCUAGCACUCUCGCGAGCACAAUUAAAAAUGUAUAAACCUGCAGCGAGGAUGGAUUAGAUGCUGGUCUCCCACGGCUGUUGAUCUGGAGUGUGAAGCUGUCACAGAGGGGGUCGGAGGAAAAGGUGUGGGCAGGAACCUCAUGACGACAGAACUUCUAUAGUCCCAGUGCACCAGACCUUCUCACUUGGCACCCCUCCCACUCAGAGAACCCACUCGUCCUGCUUCCACACGGAUUACCCGCUUUUGCUUUUAUUUACCGAUUCUCUCCCAGGUGUCAUCCCUCACCUGUCCGAUACAAGCGAUCCUCAGGAAAGAUGCUGGCGCAUCCCGCAAGAUAAAGUAUCAUUCUUUCAUGGAAGAGGACAGGGGUCAGUCGUUCGGAUACACGGGGCAGCACAACCUGCUCCAGCCAAGCCUCCGCUCAUUAGCCAGACCUGGUGAGACGGAGAUGUCUUCGCUUCCAAAGCCUCCGCUUUGACAUUCACACAGUGCUUCCAGUCGAUCAGGUCCCGGCUCUGAUAAAUUUGCAUCUCUUUGAAUGUGAUGCUAAAAAAAAAAAAAAAAAAACGGUGAAAAGAGGGAGGGGAGAAAAAGAGCCCAGCUACUAGAUUAAAUUUUGCCGUCUAGAAAAUGAGAAAAAAGGGCCUCUAUCUCCUACAGUCUACUGGGAAGAUCUUUAUUCUGAUUCUUGUUAGAAUUGUUUAUCACAGUGACAGAGCAGGCCUGAGCAGAGAUAAAGGCAGUGCUCCAUCACGCGCCCUGACAGUCGUAGGACAUGCAGUGGAAUGAAAGAAGCCAGGGAAAUAUUAUUAAUAGAUGCUGAUUUGAUUUGCCUCGAUUGCACGUCAAGAAGAGGGGGCCAUGGCUUGAUUGCAGCCUAUGAAGUUCUGUCCAAAAGGGAAGCUAUUUUUCAUUAAGUGAUAGAAGUCUUUUUCUCUUUUUUUGGCUCCCUUUUGCUUUCCAAGGAGCUGAUAACUUAUGCAGUUUAUUCUAACCGUGCUGAUUUGUGUCAGUGAGAAAAAGAGUGAGGGAGAGACAGUGAGAAAGAGAGAAUGGGGCUUAUCUUGUCUUAUGUAAAAUAAACCGCCUUUCCUGGUUUAAUGUUAGUUUUGGUGCAAGUGAGGAGAUUUGCUUGCAUGCACAUUCCAUGACCUGUUCUUGUGAUCUACACGCAUGCAGCUGCAGUGUGGUUGGGGCAAUGCUGUGCAAAAAACGUAAGCAGUAUUGUAUGCUCAGUAUUCGCAGGAUUAAAAGCAAUUACAACAAUAUCAGAUAUGCAUACUCUAAUAAAACCAGUUGUGAAAAUUAUAUUGAAUUUUGUUGCAUGUGCAAUAAUAAUUCACAGUGGGUAUAAUAAGAUUUAAAAAGAUGAGAUCAAUAUCAUUAAAGUUUGCACAGAGUGUUUCUUUAAUUAUACGUAC